CAACAUCCACUGAACUGACACUGGAGUAUACCAGGGCGAUAGCAAAUAUGUCCUAAACGGCUCAAAUCAUACGGAAUUAAAGCAGGUUUUAUUAUUUUAUGGCGGGAUAAUUAUCUCUGCAUAACUAACCGAGGAGUCGUUUUUACAGGCAGCCUGCUGUGUGAGGGAUGCAGCCAACAUUACUCGCUGGCACGAGGUUAUGCAACACUCCACGAGACCGCACGCGACACAAAUACAUCACGUAGUAUAAGAAGCAGUGAAUGGCCGGAGAUAGCAGGAGUGACAACAAUGAACACCAAGCCAGGACUUCAGAAAGCCUCAAUGCUCCUCGUUCUCCAAGGGAAAGAAAGGACACACGCAGCCAUUAGCCCACUCUGCUACGAGCACUGCCAGUGAUGUUUGUUGUUGCUCGUGUUGUGCAUAUGAAAGUCGUUGCGUUGGUGUAACAUUUGUCCUUAGAUAACUUCUGCCACAAGACAAUUAUGAUCAAAAUCUUAUUUUUUUAUGCAAAAAGAUAAAGUCAGUGAUUUAGUAGGUGAAUUUAAAACAAAUAAAUAGAAGCUUGUUCUAUAAUGAUUUUAGGUUUGUGCUCUUACAGCUAUUUUUUUACAAAAUAAAUAAAAAAUAAAUAAAUAAAACAUCAAUCUAUGCUCUGUAACUCAUUUCCUGACUUUGGUUGAGUUUCAUUUCUUAAGAAAAACAAAGUACUGUAAACUUUCCACCUUUUAAAAGCUGUGUUAUUUUAAAUGAGCUUUAACCUUCUUCUCUUGGAUUUGGGAGUUUUGGAAUAUUAGAGAGUUUCAGGACAAGGGAUGAGUAUAAAAUAAAGUUUUUAUUUAUCAUGUAAGUCAUGAAUAAAAAGAAAAUGCCAGGAUAGGAUUCUAACUUGGUACCUGCAACAAGAAACUCAGCUUUGAAAAACACUGAGAUCUCUGACUUUGACGAAUGAGCUGCAUGGAGCCAUAACAUAUUUUCCAUCUUUUUAUUAUAGGGGAGAGUGGGGUAAGUUGAGCCAAAGGGUAGGUUGAGUCACCCCCUGUUGCUUGGAAAUGGUAAGAGAAAUUGAUCAUGUGCGCAAAUAUUUAGGAGAUGGGCAUCAAUUCAUGGAGUCUGUGAAGGUUGGAAGCACAUGGGUGAAGGGGCUAGACAUUUAUUUCCAAAAAUCUCAUUUGUCACUCUUGAAAGUAAAUUGUGUUCAGACCAAAAAAGAUAAUUUUGAAUUUGUUUUAUACAUCAAUUGUGGUAUCUAUGAGCUACAACAUGAGGUUAACAGCUCAACUUACCCCGCUCCUAUGGUCAACUUACCCCAUACACGGGGUAAGUUGACCAUAGGAGACCACUUUUUUGCAUGCUUUAUUAUCAAGACAGUUAUGUUUACACCCUGUUGGUUUUCAGGGAUGCACAACAUCUUGAAAUAUAUGCAGAUACACUAGUUAGAGACAAAACUAUGAUUUUGCCUUAAUUUAGCGAUCAAAAAUAUGAAAAAAGGCUCAUCUUACCCCACUCUCCCCUAUUAUAAAAAUUAUCCCCAUCUGCUGUUCUGGAAGAAUGCUGAGAUUCUGUUGUGCUGUGAAGCUUAAAAAAUGAUUUGUAAGGAAACUUCAUCUCACUUUCAACCCUCACGAAGAUAAACUCAUAUCAGGGUUAAAUGUUUCUGUCAGAUCUAAAUUUCCUUCAUAAAACUCAGCUUUGUAUCCUAAAUAACAAAAACACAUGUUACAAAAUCCUGUAGAAAAUGUACUUUGCUGUAAGGCACUGAAAAAUCCAUGUGGUUUACAUCCAGAUGAUACAAACAGCUUCACAGAGACACCAAAAGUUUGCGGGUUGGCGAAUGAUUCGAAAUACGAGGGGCAGUGUAACGCAAUGGAGUCCCCCUCACAGUCUUGUUGAAAAUUUGUUUUUAAAUAAAAGUAAAUGAAAUGUUUAUGUCCUCCAUGAUGUCCCCAUCACAAAAGCACAGGCACAAACUAAGUCACACAAGCACAUUUACAUCAUAACCUUCUCUAUAAUUGAUGUCCUCUUCCCCUUUUUUACCCUGCAACUGUGUCAUAAAGACAGACACCAUGUUAAUAACGUAAUAAUUUCUGUAUUGUAUUACAAACACAUAGCAUCGCAUCACAUUUAUUUAUUCAAUUCAAAGCUUUGUGCACCAAAGCCUCCUGGUGUCUUUGAUAAUCACUCUGCCUGUUUUACAUUUACUGUCCUCUUGAUGGCACAGUAGAGCAAAUGAAGCACAAUAAAGCUUUGGCACAUAAAUCGAACAAUUGGAAAGCUUCUAUGCUUCAAGAGGCUUCAUCUCACCAUCACUACUAUUUACACAAAAAUGUACAAGGCAAAAAUCAAUGUCAAUAAGGCAAGAGUUCCUCAAUAACUCACGAUUCAGCAACACAGCAGUCAUACAACAGAGGGCAGUUCAAUAGUUACCUUUAGUGCCACCAACUCCACAUUCAAUGACAGGCCCAGGCAGCCUUCUUUUAAACUCCCCUAGCCCCUCCCCUGGGCACAUCCAUACACAAAUUAUAGGGGUUUAAGUUACCGUAUGUAAAGUGCAACACAAACUCCUCAAUAAAUUAGACAUUUCACCACAGACAAAGAGGCACUAAUCGCCCCCCAUACAGCUAUGACCAUACCCCUUGAAAACACAAUAAACAGACAAAGUAUCACAAUUUAACCAUACUGGUAUGGUCCGGCGGUCACAUGACACCCCCAAAAGCGCGCCACCUUGCGCUAUUUACCGACAGAUCAGGAAGCGCCCAGGUUUGGCUUGUGAAAUGGCAGCAGGUAAGUACGUUAUGUGUGUUGCGUGUAGUUGUCGAGUGUGUGCCCUCAAACGCCUACAGCGGGGACAAAAGAGUCCAGAUUAACAGGGAAACAGUUGGUUGGAGUGUAGGGGUGUGGGGAAACAGUUAAACAGUUUGACCGAGCUUGGCUUCGCGGGGAACGAGUGCGCUCCCGGCACUUCAGGCGCCGAGAGAGAGAGAGAGACCCGCGCCAAUCGCGGAAUGACGGCGCUCAAAGGGAAAUUCCGACGUAAAGUUAAGCUAGGGUCAAACACACCGCAACACCGAGUUAGGAACCCCCUCGAGAGAUGAAUGUUGCAGACCGCUUGCUUCUCUAGUUUUACCAAUUUUAGUAACGACCGCAGAUAGCGAUACACAGAGCCACGCGCUCAUCCAAAAAGCCACUCUAUAGCCACAACUAAUGCUCCGAACGGCACCUAACUUCAUCAACAGUACAUAUAGGGUCCCAGCCAUAGUACCAGCCACCAAACAAAUUUUUAGCAUUGUCUGAUUUCUUUAGCAAACACUACUCACCCUCUCAUCCAGCAGCCGCGUGUUUGUACUGAGACCUCCGGGCGAGUCCAUGGACUGCUGCGGGGGUGCGCAGCUCAAGGAAGAACAUUUAUGAUCAUUUCCUCAUGGAAAUGCAAUCAGACCGAGACACUAUGGCAGAAGAACUACUGCGUCUGCAGUGCAAAAUGACUAAUAUGAUGAUUACUACUUCAAGGAAAUGAAAAAGUAAUAACUGUAAAUGUUCUUCCUUGAGCUGCACCCCCCCCCCCCACUGUAGACUAUGGACUUACCCGGAGGUCUCAGCACAAACAAGCGGCUGCAGGAAGGGAGUAGGUGAGUUGUGUUCAGUCUCUUUGCAAAAGAAAUCAGGCAAAGUUAAAAAGAUGUUUGGUGGCUAAUACUCUGGCUGGGACCCUAUAUGUACUGUUGAUGAAGUUAGGUGCUGUUCUGAGCAUUAUUUGUGGCUAUAGAGUGAAUUUUUGGUUGAGUGCGUGGCUCUCUGUAUUGAAACCAUUUUACUCUCCUGCUGCGGAGCUAUUAUCACACCACAAGCCUACCUGGCAUGGCUUGCAUUUUAAGGUCUUAAAUUCAACAUUUGAAUAAGGUUUUAAAGUGGCUAAGGUUACACUGCAGGGAAACAUUUCUUCUCUGCAUCACACAGAGAGCCUUGUCCUAAGCAAGGAUAGUAUUUCUUUUCUGCAUCGUUUGGAACGCUCCUUUUUGAAGUCUUGUUUUGAACCCAGGACCAUUUACUCAAAGGCGACUAGACUGACUAUUACACCUGCUCGGUAGACUUCGGCCAAUUUGGUGCCCGAGGCUAGAUUGAUAUGAUUGGCCCAUUUUACUUCAUAGUAAUCACUGAAAUUUUAAAAGGUUUGCCUCGAAUUUUAAAACUGUUUCCAAAUUCAUACACUUUGUUUGCUUUUUUAUAUCAUUAGAAGGCAUCAUAGUGAAUUUUAGUCAAUUUUAUUAAUGUAAAACAAACUACUUAUGGGAGCUUUAGGUGCUAAGGUAUUCUCUUGGUCUUACUUGUUUUUCUUUUCAGUUAGAGAGGGGGUUUGCAUUUCUAACACCAUUUCUAUGUAGGAUCAAGUGCAUAUAUUUAAUUAAGCCCAUUUAAAAACACAUGCCUCAAUGCUCAUAAUCCAUAUCUGUCAUAUAAAGAUACUUUUUUUUCCAAAAAGAUUUACAAUUUGAGUGCACUUCGGAAUGUAGAUAUAAGGCAUACUUUUUAAGUAGAUUGUAUACAUUUUACAUCUUAACAGUCUUGAAUUUUCAGUCAUGCUUUUCUUCUCCCUAUACUUCUACUUCUGCCUCUUCUAUUGAAGAUAUUGUAGGUCUCACACACAAAACCUCGGUUUGACUUUUAAGCCAUUGCAGUACCUCAUAUGACCACCAAGGACCAGUACAGCCUUACAUUAGACUUGAGUACAGCCAGGCCAGAUGACAGGAGGUCGUAAUGACUCAUUCUCUUUAAUGAAUGGUAUAACGCUAAAACUGAAGAGUUACGUUUUCUUUAACUAAUGUAUUACAAUAAAAAGAGUAAAUCUGAGGUAUUUUUGUAGUUGUAAUCCUAAAUGGAUUUAAAAUCCACCUUUCUCUCAUUUAAUGUAGUGCCAAAAUGUUCUGAAGGAUGAAUUAUAAUGUCACUAAUCUCUUGUAAUUUGGCAUUUAAUUCAUGUGAGUCAAGGCCCAGAUUUUGAAAUCUUAGGGUCCAUGGACCAUAACCCUCAUUCAGCCUGCGGUGCAGAGUAAUACAAGAGCCGUACUGAGAAAUUAAUUGGACACCAGCCAUGCUGUAUUGCACAAUGUUUACCAUUGACACAGUACAGUUAAUGUCAAUUACUUGAAGAUGUUCAAACGCACCUUUUCUGUCCUGUUACCCUGCAAACUUGAAUUGCGUAUGCCUGUAUUUGGAAACAUAUAGCCACACUUGCUCGGGGCUUUCUCAAGUGAAUUAGAAUAUUUUUGAAAACAGCCUUUGGACCGUUACAAGGCCAGAAAAAAAGAAAGGAUGCAGACAGUGAAUCGGCCAGUGUUUGCCAGGAAAAACAGGGAGAUUUCAGAGGCAAUGCUGGGGCAGAGGAGGGAACAGUGCCUGUGAGAGUUGAAGGGAAAGAAUGGUUGGUAGAGGAUGAGAGAGAUUUUCCUCCAUGAAUUUUAGGAUGAAAGAUUGGCUUGUGUGUGAGAAGUGUGUGUGUGUGUGUGUGUGUGUCUGUAUGUUUAAGUGAGAAAGAGUGAGUGAAUGCCAAAGAGAGAAAGCCUGGGUGUGUUGAGAUAAGCUUGGGUUGUUGUGAGGUUGUUGUUUUCUGGGCACACACCAUUUGUGCAUGCGCUUGUGUUAAUGUCCUUCUGUGUGUACAUAGAGAUUGUGAGUAGUUGUUGAGUUGUGCAUUGAGACUGCACACAUUACUUUUUGAUAUUUCAACCCUAAAUGGUGCCACUCUCGAUAAGGGUCUCCUGUCUCCUCUCUCCUCCAGUUUGCUGCUCUUUCUCUCUGCCCUUCACAACAUUUCUUUUCUCUGAAACUUAUGGACUUCAAGUUUUCUCCUCUGUUGACAACUUAUUUAUUCUUAGUCUGGUCAAAAAUAGAGUUGGAAUAACUAAUCAGUUAGCUGCUUAAUGGCAUUAUGAAGAAACCGAUACUAUUUUUGCUUUGGCCCUCACAAGGCCGGUAUCACCAUCAUCUUUUCGAAAUGACGUUUUUUGUUCCCAUCAUUAUUAUCUCAUUAUUUUGUUAUCAAUAAGUUGUUGUUUUUGUCAAAAACGCAAACAUCAAAAACAUUGUCAUAUUGGUAUUUUAUAUCAGCCAUUGGCCAACCUGCUCUCUCAUUAUUGGUGAGGUGAUUGGUUGCUGAAAAACAUAUUGGUAGACCACAAGUCUAAAGUCCUCUUAUCCUCAUUAUACUGUGAAUUGUAACAUUUUAUGAUCCUUUUUUUGACCAUGUAACCACAACUUAGAGACACGUUUUACCACAUAAACCUUUAAGAUAGUCCUACUUUAUGUAUUACAAUAAAGCUGGUAGAUCUGUGUUUAACCAUCUGAGCCACAUCAUGAGUGCCAGAUCUGUGAGAUUUUUACAUUUUGUGUGCAAUCCUUGAGUUAAAUUAAAUCAACUUUUUAUGGCUGUGAUGGAGGGCAGAGCAGAGAGACACUGCAUGUAAGAGGCAUCACUUAAACUGCAAGCCAGAUUUGUGGACAUGUAGAAGUUUCAGAGUUCGACUGCUGUGAGUAGGGUGACCAUACGUCCUCUUUUACCCAGACAUGUCUUCAUUUUUGGGGGCUGUCCAGGCUUUGUCUGGGGUUUAUAAAAUCCUUCAAAUGUCUGCGGUUUUGUACAGAAGUUUUGAGUUUGUGUCACAUGUACCUUCUGAGUUAGAAACGCAUAAAAGACAGUCGAUCCGACCCAAAAAACUCUCAAAAUGAACUUCAUGCGACUCCGUGACUCCGCCCCCGCAUGGUUGGGUCCUCUUUUUAGGGAUUCAGAAUAUGCUCCCCCUAGCUGUGAGGAUUUUGAAAAUUAACUUCUAAUUUUUCAGUUUGUCCGGUUUGUGUACUUCAGUAGUGCUCUCUUAUUAUCUUAAUGUUGACUAGACCUCCCAGUUAACUUGCUCUUUCUUUCCCUUUCUUUCACUCAGGCAGCUUUUUUUGGUAAAUAUGAUUAUUUCUCACAGGUGUUAGUGUUUUGGUUACUAUGAAAGUAAUUGGAUCAUUUUGAAGUAUGUGGUAGAGGUAAUGACAAGAUCUCAUGCCACCAAAUCUCACAAUGCUAAAGCGUAAUGACAUUUCUCAUUGAGGUGAUAAACUGUCUCAUGAAAUCACACAAUAAUAAGUUUCCAUCUGCAGUGCACAGUGAUCGGUCCUAUUAUUGCUAAGUCUGUGACUCAGAUGAACAAAUAAACUUCUUUGUCUAUUGAAAUCGUUGUCUACUCAUAGCUUUAAUGUUGGAUCAUGGGGGAAGUUCUGGACUUUUUUUCCCCUUGUAAAAACUCACUCUCAUCUAUUGCAGAGGUGACCCCCGCUGAGCCACACAAAUACCCCCUUGUCGACUGUUUACCAUCACAAUGCAGACACUGUCUCUUUCCCUCGCUGUCAGGAGGACCCAUAUUUAUGUAUUUUCAUUGUAAUUACAUGGCAGUGUUUUUAGAUUUCCAAAAUGCCUCUGUUUCCCCCACUGGUGCUUUUAUCCACGGCUGCAGAUCAAACAGAGCUAUUGCCAACACUUUGCUUCCCCGAGCCACUGAGAAAAAAAAACCCAACCAGUAAACAAAAGAUAAAAUACCCUAAUGAAAGCUGGAGAGAGAGCAAAAUCAACACAAUAAAAGGGUUUGUUGAAUAGUGGCUGGGGAUUGUGUGUUUUCUGAUGCUGUGGUAGUUGUUGGAAUUUUUUAUGUGUGUGAGUAUAUGGGGGGUGUAUUCUCAUCUCUCAAUGUAAAUGACACUUUUUCACAUUAAAAAAGCAGCUGUGUGGAAAUUUUCAUGUUAGAAAGCAUGGUUUACAGCUGUUCAGGAGGGAUCACAAAAAUCAACACAAACUGAAAGUUACUCACAGGAGCUUUAAAACCAAAUGAUGACGGUUUGAUCCCAACUCAUAGAAAGAUUGAUUGUUGUCAUGUAAGCUCUGGUGAAAUUGAAUAUAGGGCCGUUUAUUCUUUAAGGGCCACAUGAACCCUCUUACUGCUGUAAAUACUCAUUUGUACCCCUCUGUAUUCUGAUGAAAAUAUUCCCUGACAUACAGUUUACAUGAUUACCUUCUGGUCUUCUAAAUUAUAUACAAAGUUAUAAAAGAAAAUAAUCUGCACUUUUCUAAAAUUGCUAAAAAGGAAAACUUUCUUUCUACAUUUUGAUCAAAUGAGUUAAAAGUCUGCUCUGUCUCUUUUUUUCUUAGAUUUGAAACCCUGCUGUCCUUUCCUGAUCAACAUGUUUGGACUUCUUCAAUAGGACUGAUAUCACCCUGCCUUGGAAUGAGCAGGAACUAUGUGUGUGUGCUUGUAAGUGCAAUUUUGUUUGUAUAUGUAAUGAUUUUAUUUGGGUCAAUAUAAUCAUGCUUUAAAGCUUUCAAGUUGCACAGAAAACUACUCACUGAGCAUUUUAUUGGUCUAGAAGAGCUCUAAUAGGCGUCUAAAUGUAGCCUAGAUGACUGGUCUAAAAUCAGACUACCACAGGUCUAAAAAUGAAAGUUUUUUAGACAUCUAAAUUUAGACCAAGUUUAGACCAAGUCUUAAUCUGGGCUAUAUCCAUACUACACUGUAUUUUGCUCAACAGCUAUCAUGAUAAUUUUGGUUGAGUACUUGGGGAUCAGUUAUGCAACUCACAGUUGCUUUUUGAGAUAAAAAGUUAUCGAGUAAUGGGUUAAAGUGCAACAUCGAAAUUCUGUCAAGUAAUACAAAGAACCUUGAUGGUUGAAAUUUGGUCCAAAAAAAACCAACUAGAUGUCGAAUAGCUGUCUAUUGCUCAGUGGGUAGACACUUUGUACAGAUUUUGGUGUUCACUGCUGACAAUGAUUUUUUUCUCUUAUGUUGAAUCUUGUUGAGUUAAUUUCAAGAAACCACUCUAAAACCCAUUUUAAACUGCGUAUGUGAGGUGUGUGUGUUGAAUUGCACCACUAGAUGGCAUCCUGAGAGAGGCCUUAUCAUCCCAGCAGCACUGUUCAGUUGGCAGAGGAGGACAAAAUAAAACAAUGCUUAUCUCUGCACACAUGCAUUUAAUACUUGACUUUAACUGAGCUGAUAUAUUUGAUGUACUUGAGGCCUUUUUUGUGGCUCUUUAAUGAAUGGGUCUUAUAGUGUUUAUCUGUUCCUUUGCCAUCAUUUUCUCCACUAAAGUCUUGGGAGCCCUUCUUUUGCUGGUGAUAUAAUUAUAAUAUGUCAAGCCAAGUUUUUUGCCCGGACUUAAGCUUUUAAAAUGCCUGACCUCAAAGCAUAAACCUGCAUUUCCAUUUUGAGACUAAGUUAGCAUUAAAAACCUUCACAUUAGAUAUAUUUUUGUUGGUGCUUUGGGCCUUAAGACAUUUUAUUUAAUGUGAAAUGUUAUAGCCUGUGAUCAUUUGUGCUUUUGCAUUUAUUAGAUUCCUGUAAAACAACUUCUACAGUUGGUUGGUCAGUCCACUACAUGUGUGCAAAAGUUAGAUGUCUCCAUCCUUGACUUGUUACUGCUGUCCAAAAAGGCUUUGACAAAAUCUGCGUUGAGCCUUGAGGAAUUUAAAAAAUGGGGAACUAAUUUAACAUGUUUUUGUGACAAACAGGCUCUAAAGCAGCGAAUAGUCUAUCCCAGAGACAAGUAUAUGCAGUGCAGCAGUGAGGCGUUGGCAGCUCUGUGUGUUUUUGUGUGCAUGUUUGUACAUAUAUGUGUGUGUUGAAUGUUUGUCUUUGUGAGACAGGGCUGGCUGCGUUUGCUGUGCGUGACUGACUAAGAGCAGAGCACCAGGAGCAGACAUCUGUGUAUACUCAUGGACAAAGGCUGCACUGGAAGAGAAAUGCUUCACCACAACAG
rnacentral:lncRNA from 1 species